rnacentral:rRNA from 1 species
GUGGGGAAUAUUGCGCAAUGGGCGAAAGCCUGACGCAGCGACGCCGCGUGAGUGAUGAAGGUUUUCGGACUGUAAAGCUCUGUUGUUUAGGACGAAAGUGCCUGUUGCAAAUAGUUACAGGUAUUGACGGUACUGAACGAGGAAGCCACGGCUAACUACGUGCCAGCAGCCGCGGUAAUACGUAGGUGGCAAGCGUUGUCCGGAAUUAUUGGGCGUAAAGAGCAUGUAGGCGGGAAUCUAAGUCUGUUGUGAAAAUGCGGGGCUCAACCCCGUAUUGCGAUGGAAACUGGGUUUCUUGAGUGCAGGAGAGGAAAGGGGAAUUCCCAGUGUAGCGGUGAAAUGCGUAGAUAUUGGGAGGAACACCAGUGGCGAAGGCGCCUUUCUGGACUGUGUCUGACGCUGAGAUGCGAAAGCCAGGGUAGCGAACGGGAUUAGAAACCCCUGUAGUCC